UUUUAUCCAGUGAGUGACGCGGGAAAUAAAUUUGAAUUGAGAAAUCAAAUUUUAAAAGUUGAUUUAUUUCUCUCCCCUAAUUCCUUUCUCCUUUACCCUGAUGACCAGAGUUAUCUACCCUUUUUUUCUCAAUCUCUCCUCUCUUACACCAAGGUCUCCUCCCACGUUCCCAUCGAAACAGAGAAGAAGAGAACAUGACAGUGAAGAGAAAAAGCACGAGGAAGAAGAAGAGGGAGGUGACGACGGCGGCGGCGGUGAGAGGCGGCAACCUUGCCACUGAAUCAAACGAAAGAGAGUGAAAGCAAACAGAUCGGUGACAGAGGAAGAGGAAGGAGGCGACGGCGGUGAUAGAGGCCACCGCCGCUGUUGGAUACACCGCCAGAGAAGAAAUUCGUUGGACUGAGGGGAGAGAGAAAAAUAGAAGAAGAAGGCUCAGUCGUGUAUCAUACUAUGGGCUGAUGUAAAUUGAUAAAAUAGGACGGAGUCUAUAGUUUGUAGAAAAGCCGAAGGGAUCUGUUAUGAAGAAAUUGGUAUGUUAAUGGUAUGUUAAUGCUUGCUUUACAGCUGCAGUAAGUUGACACCACUGUCUAGGGUUAUCUACAGGAGAAGCAAAAAAACAUCCUUAGAUUGCAUCAAUGGGUGGAUUAAUAGUAAAGUCCAAAAAUAAAAGAUUAUCAUAAUUUAUUUUUAUUUUCAGUAAUAGGUUUAAUUUUUUUACCUUUCAAAUGAUGGUAGGUAAAAUCAGCUAAGAAGUGAAUUUUUUUAAGGUUCCUCCUCUAAUUGAUGGAAACUCGGCUUACUUUGUCCAGUCAGAUGCAGUUGAAAAUGAAUCAUAUCAAAACUCUCCAAAGAACUCUAGCAGACAGAGAGACUAUGUGACUGGAUUUCACAAGCUCAAUAAGAAGAAGAGAACGGUGACACAAAAGCAGUUCUAAGGAGGAAACAUAUGGGCUACGCAUUUGAUUACUAACCCAUGCAGUUCUAAGAACUCUAGCAGACAGAGGAAUUGAUAUGUGCGUAUGUAUGGAAAAAAAAUAAAAGAAAAGGGGCACUGAUCAUCAUAUAAAUAAUUUUAUUGACAAGACUAUUUUAUGUUGUAUUAUCUGGCAAGGGUUUACACUACUAACACAAUCUUAAAGGUUUAUUCUAAUGCACCGGAUGGGAAUGAACCAUUGGCUUUGGACAUGGAAAGAAUGGGGAAGGGUCAGGUAUGGAUUAAUGGAGAGAGCAUAGGAAGAUACUGGAUGACUUAUGGAAAUGCCUGUAGGUGAUGAUUUGGAGAGUUGGCAAGAGGAAUGGGUUGCGGUAGCAGAUUCAUGCCAGAUUGACUGCAGCCGCAAAAAGGGUCAAGACUUGGAAGGUUUCAUUUAUUGUUGAUAUUUCUCUUUUUAACUGUUAUCAAUGCUUAAAGUAUGUCUUGAGAUAGUAAUAUUUAGAGCAUAAGUGCUCAAAUUCAAUUUGGAACACUUUAUGUGGCAUUAAAAAAAUAUUUGUAUAUGUCUUUUUAACAUUAGUUAUAUUUGUUGUUUGAAAAGAUGUGAGAUUUGGAGCAAAUGGUGAUGGAAUUGGAAAUGAAAUAAAAAUGGAUCAAAGAUUGAGACAUAGAUUUCAUGUUCAAUUGCCAAUGAUCCUUGAA